rnacentral:rRNA from 1 species
UGCCAGCCGCCGCGGUAACACGGGGGGCGCAAGCGUUAUUCGGAAUCACUGGGCAUAAAGAGCACGUAGGCGGUUCGCUAAGUCAGGUGUGAAAGCCUCUGGCUCAACCGGGGAACUGCAUUUGAUACUGGCGAGCUAGAGUGUGGUUGGGGUGAGUGGAACUCCAGGUGGAGCGGUGAAAUGCGUAGAUAUCUGGAGGAACAUCGGUGGCGAAAGCGACUCAUUGGACCACUACUGACGCUGAGGUGCGAAAGCUAGGGUAGCAAACGGGAUUAGAUA